UGGAUGACCUGCCCUACAGCGGGGAAUAACCCGGGGAAACUCGGGCUAAUACCGCAUACGACCGAGAGGUGAAAGGGGGCUCGCGAGGGCUCUCGCUGAAGGAGGGGUCCGCGUUCGAUUAGCUAGUUGGUAGGGUAAUGGCCUACCAAGGCGACGAUCGAUAGCCGGCCUGAGAGGGUGAUCGGCCACACUGGAACUGAGACACGGUCCAGACUCCUACGGGAGGCAG
rnacentral:rRNA from 1 species